rnacentral:tRNA from 2 species
GCACCCGUAGCUCAGCUGGAUAGAGCGCUGCCCUCCGAAGGCAGAGGUCACGCGUUCGAAUCGCGUCGGGUGCACCA